UUGGAGGGCAAGUCUGGUGCCAGCAGCCGCGGUAAUUCCAGCUCCAAUAGCGUAUAUUAAAGUUGUUGCAGUUAAAAAGCUCGUAGUUGAAUUUCGGGGUUAGUAGAUUAGUCAUGCCUCUGGUAUGUACUGGCCUUACUGAUUCCUCCUUCCUGAUGAACCUUAAUGCCAUUAAUUUGGUGUUUUGGGGAAUUUGGACUGUUACUUUGAAAAAAUUAGAGUGUUUAAAGCAAGCUAACGCUUGAAUACAUUAGCAUGGAAUAAUGAAAUAGGACGUUCGAUCCUAUUUUGUUGGUUUCUAGGAUUGACGUAAUGAUUAAUAGGGAUAGUUGGGGGCAUUAGUAUUCAAUUGUCAGAGGUGAAAUUCUUGGAUUUAUUGAAGACUAACUACUGCGAAAGCAUUUGCCAAGGAUGUUUUCAUUAAUCAAGAACGAAAGUUAGGGGAUCGAAGACGAUCAGAUACCGUCGUAGUCUUAACCAUAAACUAUGCCGACUAGGGAUCGGAUGAUGUUAAUUUUUUAAUGACUCAUUCGGCGCCUUACGGGAAAC
rnacentral:rRNA from 2 species